AAUUUUAGGGUUGUGGUAAUAUAGGGUUUGUCAUUGAAGCGCGCACGGCUACACCUCCACCACAACGGCCUCCUUGUCACGGCGGCACGGCCUCGAACAGUGGACUUGGUGUCUGGUCCAAGCAGUGCUCUUGCUCCUUGGAGAACGUGAGACUCAUGCUGGAGUUCCAACAACUGAGGUUGCUUUUGGACAAGACGAUAGGGUAGUACUUUAAAAAAAAAAAAAAAAAAAAUACAUACAGUAGGUGAUUGUGGUGAAGCUUGUGAGAACGAUAUAAUAACUUGUUUCCUAUAUAUAUGUUUUGAGCUGAUUUUGUAAUAAAUUUGUAGGCCAGUGGAAGUCCUGCGAGGAAAUCCAUUAUAUCUCACCGGAUAGCUUCCUUGGUUAGGUUUCGGGAGAAAAAAAAAGAGAGGUGUUUUGAUAACAAAAUCAGGUAUACUAUACGAAAGGAGGUUGCUCAAAGGUGAGAUUUUUCUCUUAAGUUUUUUUUUUUUUUUUUUUUUUUUUUUUUUUUUUUUUUUCAGUUUCAUAUUUCUCAGUCAGUUUACCAAAUUGUUAUGGCUAUGCUGCUGUAUUCACUGUUGGUCUGUCGGGAGUUCUAUUAUUAUCUAUGCUAAGGAGGUCGUAGAUAUGAUGUAGAACUUGUGAACUCAUUAGUUGUCACACCAAAUGUUCACACUUAUAAAGAUGUAUCAGCUUGUUUUGUUGGCUCUACGACCUGCUGCUCUUGGUUUGCUUCGAUUUCGCUUCCUUAUGGUUUUGAUUUUGUUUUUUUUUUUUUUUUUUUUUUUUUUUUUUUUUUUUUUUUUUUUGCUGUUCUCAAUUUGGAUCUUCGUUGCGAUUGAUGAAUUGUUGGUUGAUUUUGUUGUUGUUGUUUUAGGGUUGUCGAAUCUGGUUGUGUUAUUGGAUUGAUUUUUAAUGGAUUUACUCGUGAAUUUGUUCUAUGUUUGAGUGAUUUUUGCCAAUUGAGGUUAAUUGGAAGAAAUUAAGGGUUUCCUGAUUUCUCGAGGCUGUUUGUGGAAUUUUGGGGGAAUUGGAGAUGGAUAGGGGUUGCGGUGGUGGUUUCGUGGGUGCGGUGGUGGGUGUGGUGGUGGUUUCGUGGUUGCUGGGUUGUCAGUUUUAAUUGUGUCUAGUCAAUAUUGUUCACACAGAUAAUUAGAACUAGUUCAACUCUUGAUUGAUAGCUAUUCAGGUAUUAGUUAGACAUCGUCGAGAUUUCAUUAAUUUUGGUUCUUGUAAAUAUAUGAAAUUAGAUUGUUAUAGGAGCCAUAGUGAACUUUUUUUUUUGGAUUUUUUGUUUUGACAGAGUGAUUCUGAUGGUAAAAGGCUCAAAUCAACAGGAUCCGAAGAUGAAAAUCAGAAUCAGAGAGCUAAUAAUGAAACAACUUCUGGAAAAGGAGGUGAACAAAAGAGUAAGCCAGUGUCUGAUCCAUCAAAGGAUUAUAUUUAUGUUCGAGCAAGGAGAGGUCAAGCAACUGAUAGCCAUAGCCUUGCUGAAAGGGCUUGAAGAGAAAAGAUCAGUGAGAGGAUGAGAAUACUACAAGAUGUUGUCCCUGGGUGUAAUAAGGUUCGACCACUGCUACUUCAAUUUUUCCAUCUAUUGCUGUUGUCAUUAUUGUUAUCAUCUGAAGGGCUGAUAAACUGUCGUAUUUAUUUUUGCCAUUGACAUGAGUAUUAAUUGGACUGAAUUCUCGGUCCACUUUUCUCUUAUUGCAUCUUAUCGAUCAACUUAUCUAGUUACACUGUAAAUCCUACUAAGAUUUUUGGUAUUUGGUGGUGUUUUAAGUUUUUCGAAUAUGUUUGAAGAGGUUCAUGAUCAAUAUCCUGAUUCCUGACCAAAUACCUGGGUUUCAAGUCAUUGGCAAAGCAUUGGUACUUGAUGAGAUCAUAAAUUAUAUCCAAUCGUUACAGCGUCAAGUUGAGUUUCUCUCGAUGAAAUUAGCUGUCAAUACGAGAACUAGCCCUGGUAUUGAAGGAUUUCCCUCAAAAGAUCAGCUUGCAAGCUUCUGAUUGGCCUUAGCUUCAGAAAUUGAGGGGCAGGAGGCGAGUGUUGUCACUGAAUGCAUUCUCAAGAUUUUGGGACUUGAUAUCUGUGCUGAUACUAUGGUGAGAAAUGAAAUGAUAAGGGGUAUUUCUGGAGGACAAAGAAAACGACAUUGUAAAACUGUAUUACUCCUUUCAAGAUGCUGAAUAUUUGUAUCUGAUUACUUGCAAAGGAAUAGGAGAAAGUUGGUAAGCUAUGUGCAUCUUGUGACUACUGAGAUUGAAGCUGUAGAGUUGUUAAGUACGAAGUAUAUCUCAAGUACAAAUUGCACAAAUUGAAGAGGGGAAAACAGUGAAAUAAGGGAUUUUUUCAGAAAUUGAGCAGAGCAAUUUUUGUGGUGAGACGACGAACAAGAAAGUCUCCUUCCAAUGAAUUCGACUUUACUAUUGCUGGUAUUUUUCUAUUUCCUCCCAAUUCACCAUAUUUUCAAGCUU